rnacentral:lncRNA from 1 species
UUGUUGUCUUUCCUAAAAAAAACUCUGGUCCAGAAGGCAUUCAUCAUAGCAAAAAUCAGUCCAAAUUUCUUUUGCUUUGGAAAGCUGUGAGCACGGGAAAGCAGAAGACCAUAGAAAUUAGAAGGGGCCUAGAUGAAAAUCCAGUCUAGAUCUGCAGAAAGAAGCCAUUCUGCACUGCUAUAAAAGUGACAAAUUUCUUUCAUUUGUAAGACUUCAAUGCCCUCAUAUGUGCAUCUUUACCUGUCUAUGUGUAUAUUUUAUUGUUAAUUUGAGUGCUCCAAAAUCUCUUCCAAAUCAUUCUCAGAAACACAGGAGUUUGAAGUGGUUUUCUGCUUUUUUCCUCCAUACUUGGACACAAGACAAUGGUGAAAUGACCUCAGAAAGCUUUAUGGAAGGGAUUAUGAGAUGUUGUCAUAGCAAAUUACCAGCUCCUGAUCAACACUGGUGUUGGCGCCUCACAAAAGCAAGAAACUCACGAGACAGGAAAAGCCUCUCCAGCAGAAGGGAGAAAGGAGACUCCCCUGCCAGAGCACUUUCCAUAGUGCAGAGAGGAUCCCCAGAGGCUGGGCUGGCUCUGUCUGUUGUCCUCUGUGAGGGUGCCACAUGGGGACACCCCAACCUCCUCUCCAUGUGCCCAGGGUGCUGGGAUUCCCUCAUGUCCUCAGGCUGGGACCUGCAGCCUCUCUCUACAGAACUGUGUCAGAAAGCUGUGGUUUUGACAGCUGGACUGACAACUGUCCUUUGGGAAGGGACUCCAAUGAGCAUGUCAAAGUUGUCAUGCAAAGGGUGACAACUGUCAGAUAACCAUUGUCACUGAUUUCUGUAGUUAUGUUUUUUACAGUUUACAUAAUAUUUUGACUGUGAAAUAUCAUCUAAUUGCAUACUUCCUAGUGGGAAAAAUUGUUAUUUUUUCUCAUUUUUAUUCCGCGUGCUAGAAUGUUUUUCCCAUAGUCUUUUCUUACACCUCCAAGCCUUGCUGUAGUAAUUUAAUAAUUGAUUAACAAGCACUGAAAACAGUAGAACAAUUUAUUCCAACUGUGACAUCCACAUUAGGGGGCUUACUUUGGGGGCAGAUUUUGCUUUCCCAUUUAGAGUUGUAAACUCAGUUUUUCGGUUGCAAAAUAGACCUUUUAGAGCAGCCCCCAUACUGUCUAGCAAACUUCUGAAAUAAAGCUGCAAGUCUUUUAAAAAUCUGUUUUGUC